rnacentral:lncRNA from 1 species
UUUCACUUGUAUUUGACCUGUAACAGCAACAUUUUGUGAAUUUAAAACCAAAGGAAAAAACGAGCCAGAAUUACGUGAAAUUAAAGGUCUGUUGUUUCCUUCAUUGUUUGGUAGAGAAUCAUGCAUGGCACUUGAGACUUUAGAAAGUGUUGUUUCAGGUACUUCCCGAUCCUGGGCCUCCUCCUGUAACCCACCGCAGGCAUUGCUAGAGGCAUGUUCUUUAUUAAAAAAGGAGAAAGACUUUUAGCAGCCAAGGGAGCCUAUGAAUCUACACCCGUCUUAGUCCCACCCGUGGACUGGUCAACCGAAGUGAUAAUGGCUUGAAAUACUCGGGCUUCGCCCUUAUGAAAUUUUCCUAACGACAGACCCAAAUUCGAUUUCUUAAAACCAUCAUUAAUGGAUUUCCUGCCUGUUGAAACCUUAUUUUGAGAACCAAUUAAAGUUGCUUUCCCUUCUUUUCUUCAAAUCAGUCUGGGGAUCCUUAAUCGUUUCCUCUUCCGAUGAAACCGCCUCCAAAUCUGCUAAAGAUUGAAAUCGCGAUCCCAAAUUUUUCUUCCCUUUCAAGUUAUUUCCUUUUUUAGUUCGAUCCAAGGUGUCGUGAUUCCAAGGUUUCUUCCCAGCAUCUUAAGAACCACAGAAGUUAACAUUUCCUUUUCCAAAAGUUGAUAAACUCUCUCUGAAAAGUCAAUGGAAGGAACACCAUCAACAAAAGAUUUCUUGACAUCCUGCUCUGUAAGGGAGAAGCUAUCAGCAAAAUGUUGGUCAUCAUUCUUGUUAUUCUAAUCUAAAGUUUCCUUUCCCAUCAACAUAUCCUUCCAUGACAACGAAGGCACUGGUACUGGAUCCACAACCAUCACAUCAUCAGGAGUUGCAUCUGAUUCCUUA